AACGAACGCUGGCGGCAUGCCUAACACAUGCAAGUCGAACGAUCCCUUCGGGGAUAGUGGCGCACGGGUGCGUAACGCGUGGGAAUCUGCCCUCAGGUACGGAAUAACUCAGGGAAACUUGAGCUAAUACCGUAUAAUGACUUCGGUCCAAAGAUUUAUCGCCUGGGGAUGAGCCCGCGUCGGAUUAGCUAGUUGGUGAGGUAAAAGCUCACCAAGGCGACGAUCCGUAGCUGGUCUGAGAGGAUGAUCAGCCACACUGGGACUGAGACACGGCCCAGACUCCUACGGGAGGCAGCAGUGGGGAAUAUUGGACAAUGGGCGCAAGCCUGAUCCAGCAAUGCCGCGUGAGUGAUGAAGGCCUUAGGGUUGUAAAGCUCUUUUACCCGGGAAGAUAAUGACUGUACCGGGAGAAUAAGCCCCGGCUAACUCCGUGCCAGCAGCCGCGGUAAUACGGAGGGGCUAGCGUUGUUCGGAAUUACUGGGCGUAAAGCGCACGUAGGC
rnacentral:rRNA from 1 species